rnacentral:misc_RNA from 1 species
GAUGAAGAACGUAGCGUAAUGCGAUAAGUAAUGCGAAUUGCAGAAUUUCCGUGAGUCAUCGAAUCUUUGAACGCACAUUGCGCCCCUUGGUAUUCCAUGGGGCAUGCCUGUUCGAGCGUCAUUUGUACCUUCAAGCUCUGCUUGGUGUUGGGUGUUUGUCUCGCCUCUGCGUGUAGACUCGCCUCAAAAUAAUUGGCAGCCGGCGUAUUGAUUUCGGAGCGCAGUACAUCUCGCGCUUUGCACUCAUAACGACGACGUCCAAAAGUACAUUUUUACACUCUUGACCUCGGAUCAGGUAGGGAUACCCGCUGAACUUAAGCAUAUCAAUAAGCGGAGGA